rnacentral:misc_RNA from 1 species
AAGUCGUAACAAGGUAACCGUAGGUGAACCUGCGGUUGGAUCAUUAACAAAUUCAACCAAAAGAAAUCUAGUGCGGGUGGGUAAGACUGCCUUUGCUAGAUUUUUUUUACACACAAUGUGAACCGUUUAUUGUCUCUGGUGGCGUUAAAAGCUUUCAUGGCAACGUGAAAGUGGGACCAAGAAAAGGUGCGUGUUCUACACUCACCCCGCCCGACUCCUACCCACCGCAACCUAAACUUUUAUAUUUACACAAUCGGCCUUUAUAUCUUAUAAAAAAGUUAAUUAAACAACAACUUUUGGCAACGGAUCUCUAGGCUCUU